rnacentral:lncRNA from 1 species
ACAAAAGCUUAUUCAAGAAAAAAAAAGAAGACAAAGAAAAAGAACAAAAAGCUUAAGUCUACAACAACUUGGAUCAAAAAUGGUUUUCGAUUAUAUAUUCUUACGUAACUGUUUGCCUUUGAUUAGUUGGGAAUCGGUGUACUAAUUCCGUUUUACUACUAACGAGGGGUUGACCUAGUGAUUUCGUGGAAGUCAGGCUUCUUAGAUUCAAUUUCCAUUAGGAGAGAAUUAAGCAGCCGUUUCUUGUCUUAGUUUCCAGAAUUAAUCGAACCUUUACUAUCCG